AGCAGCCGCGGUAAUUCCAGCUCCAAUAGCGUAUAUUAAAGUUGUUGCAGUUAAAAAGCUCGUAGUUGAAUUUUGGGUUCUUCCAGUUGGUCCAUCUUUUAGAUGAGUACUGGUUGUGUGGGGUCUAUCCGCCUGGUGAUACGUAAUGUCCUUUAUUGGAUGUUGCGGGUAGUCAGGACCUUUACCUUGAAAAAAUUAGAGUGUUUAAAGCAGGCUUAUGCCGGAAUACAUUAGCAUGGAAUAAUAGAAUAGGACGAAGUUGUUUUAUUUUGUUGGUUUCUAGGACAACCGUAAUGAUUAAUAGGGAUAGUUGGGGGCAUUAGUAUUCAAUUGUCAGAGGUGAAAUUCUUGGAUUUAUUGAAGACUAACUACUGCGAAAGCAUUUGCCAAGGAUGUUUUCAUUAAUCAAGAACGAAAGUUAGGGGAUCGAAGACGAUCAGAUACCGUCGUAGUCUUAACCAUAAACUAUGCCGACUAGGGAUCGGGCGAUGUUGUUUCCAUGACUCGCUCGGCACCUUAUGG
rnacentral:rRNA from 1 species